rnacentral:rRNA from 1 species
GACGAACGCUGGCGGCGUGCUUAACACAUGCAAGUCGAACGGUGAAGCGCCUUCCUUUUUGGUGGGUGUGGAUGAGUGGCGAACGGGUGAGUAACACGUGGGUAACCUGCCCCCUUCUUCUGGAUAACCGCAUGAAAGUGUGGCUAAUACGGGAUAUUCUGGGUCUGUCGCAUGGUGGGUCUGGGAAAGAUAUUGUUUCGGUGGGGGAUGGGCUCGCGGCCUAUCAGCUUGUUGGUGGGGUGAUGGCCUACCAAGGCGGUGACGGGUAGCCGGCCUGAGAGGGUGGACGGUCACACUGGGACUGAGACACGGCCCAGACUCCUACGGGAGGCAGCAGUGGGGAAUAUUGCACAAUGGGCGCAAGCCUGAUGCAGCGACGCCGCGUGAGGGAUGGAGGCCUUCGGGUUGCGAACCUCUUUCGCCAGUGAAGCAGGCCUGCCUCGUUUGUGGGUGGGUUGACGGUAGCUGGAGAAGAAGCGCCGGCUAACUACGUG